rnacentral:misc_RNA from 1 species
GGCUACUAACCUGACUAGAAAUCUAAAAUGGGAAAAAUAAAAAACAAUAAGAAGAAAUCAAGGAGAGUUUCUCACUCCUCAAAGCAUAAACAUCUGUCCAGUGUUUGUUUGCCAAAAAGAUCACUCUUCAAAACCCACUACCACUUCCAGUUCCUCUCCGCUAGCUCCUCCGUUUUCAGCAAAUCCCCACCAUCUCUUCUUCCCAUUACUAUCAUUUUU